UGAGGAAUAUUGGUCAAUGGACGGAAGUCUGGACCAGCCAUGCCGCGUGCCGGAAUAAGGUCCUAUGGAUUGUAAACUGCUUUUAUUUGGGAAUAAACCUCCUUACGUGUAGGGAGCUGAAGGUACCAAAGGAAUAAGCACCGGCUAACUCCGUGCCAGCAGCCGCGGUAAUACGGCGGGUGCAAGCGUUAUCCGGAAUCAUUGGGUUUAAAGGGUCCGCAGGCGGGCUAAUAAGUCAGAGGUGAAAUCCCACAGCUUAACUGUGGAACUGCCUUUGAAACUGUUAGUCUUGAAUUAAGAGGGCGUUGGCGGAAUAGGUCAGGUAGCGGUGAAAUGCAGAGAGAUGACCUAGAACACCGAGAGCGAAGGCGGCCCCCCAGGCCGACACUGACGCUGAGGCACGAAAGUGCGGGGAUCAAACA
rnacentral:rRNA from 1 species